rnacentral:rRNA from 1 species
GGGGAAUCUUGCGCAAUGGGCGGAAGCCUGACGCAGCGACGCCGCGUGCGGGAGGAAGGCCCUCGGGUCGUAAACCGCUUUCAGCAGGGACGAGGCCGCGAGGUGACGGUACCUGCAGAAGAAGCCCCGGCUAACUACGUGCCAGCAGCCGCGGUAAUACGUAGGGGGCGAGCGUUAUCCGGAUUCAUUGGGCGUAAAGCGCUCGUAGGCGGCCCGUCUGGUCGGGAGUCAAAGCCCGGGGCUCAACCCCGGCCCGCUCCCGAUACCGGCGGGCUUGAGUCGCGCAGGGGAGGCCGGAAUUCCGGGUGUAGCGGUGGAAUGCGCAGAUAUCCGGAAGAACACCGGUGGCGAAGGCGGACCUCUGGGCGCGCACUGACGCUGAGGAGCGAAAGCUGGGGGAGCGAAC